AAAAAAUCUAGAGGAAAGGGGGAGCCACGUGAGAGAGGGAGAGAUAGAGAACUCAAGGAGAAGAAGGAAGGAAGAGCUUGAGAAUGAAGAGGAAAGACGGGGAAAUUGAUGGAAUUACUUCAAGAGAUUGGCUCUAGGUCAAGACGAGGACAUCGUUCCACCGCUAUCAGAGACCUACCGCUCUAUAGUGAUUCAUGACGAACAAAUAGAACGUAUGAGCAUUAUGGAACUAUGGUAUUCCGGUAUCUCUGGAAUCAUUCAAUCGGUAAAAUGUGUUUACCUUUCGUUAAUAAUUAUCAAGAACGUUCUGUUAAACUUAAGUUAACUGCAUUAACUCAUGUGAAUGAUGCAAUGGCUACCAUUACUACUCUGUUAAUUGCAGGUCAACCAUGUUAACA